GACGAGGUGGCCAGUGGUUAAGGCGAUGGACUGCUAAUCCAUUGUGUGCUACGCGGUGGGUUCGAAUCCCAUCCUCGUCG